rnacentral:rRNA from 1 species
AGUUUGAUCAUGGCUCAGGAUGAACGCUAGCUACAGGCUUAACACAUGCAAGUCGAGGGGCAUCAGGGAUCUAGCUUGCUAGGUUUGCUGGCGACCGGCGCGACGGGUGAGUAACGCGUAUCCAACCUGGCCCUUAGGUAGGGGAUAGCCCGGCGAAAGUCGGAUUAAUACCCUAUGUCAUUCGUCGAUGGCAUCUGAGUUGAAUGAAAGGUUUACCGCUAAGGGAUGGGGAUGCGUCCGAUUAGCUUGCCGGCGGGGUAACGGCCCACCGGGGCGACGAUCGGUAGGGGUUCUGAGAGGAAGGUCCCCCACAUUGGAACUGAGACACGGUCCAAACUCCUACGGGAGGCAGCAGUGAGGAAUAUUGGUCAAUGGGCGCGAGCCUGAACCAGCCAAGUAGCGUGCAGGAUGACGGCCCUAUGGGUUGUAAACUGCUUUUAUGCGGGGAUAAAGUGAGGGACGUGUCCCUUUUUGCAGGUACCGCAUGAAUAAGGACCGGCUAAUUCCGUGCCAGCCGCCGC